GGGAGCGUACUGGUUUCGACGGGGUUGUUGAGAUCGGGAAAGCGGGUAGAGGAUUCUCGUUGGCCUCUUUAAAAAGCGAGAAACUUUUAUAAUUGCCAAACAACCGGCACUUGCAGCGGCGUAGCCGUUGCCGUCUCCCCGGCCAAUCUGCUAGCCGGACCGGGACGUCAAUCGCAGACCUUUCCCUUUAGGCAGGUUAAAGAGGGCAACCGGCGGGCCAAAGUCUUGAGGUCCAGGCCGCGUAUCAUGAGACUAGCUGACCUGUAAGACUGUCUGUGACCUUGUGGGAUCAGCGAAUACUAAUCACAGACUGCACCCGGAGAAGUCCCUUUGGAGAUGAUUUCGGACAGGGGUUCGACUCCCCUCGCUUCCACCA
rnacentral:tmRNA from 1 species